GCAUAUCAAUAAGCGGAGGAAAAGAAACCAACAGGGAUUACCUCAGUAACGGCGAGUGAAGCGGUAACAGCUCAAAUUUGAAAUCUGGGUCUUUUAGGCUCCGAGUUGUAAUUUGUAGAAGAUGCUUCGGGUGUGGCUCCGGUCUAAGUUCCUUGGAACAGGACGUCAUAGAGGGUGAGAAUCCCGUAUGUGACUGGUUGCCUUCGCCCAUGUGAAGCUCUUUCGACGAGUCGAGUUGUUUGGGAAUGCAGCUCAAAAUGGGUGGUAAAUUUCAUCUAAAGCUAAAUAUUGGCCAGAGACCGAUAGCGCACAAGUAGAGUGAUCGAAAGAUGAAAAGCACUUUGGAAAGAGAGUUAAACAGUACGUGAAAUUGUUGAAAGGGAAGCGCUUGCAACCAGACUUGCACGUUGCUGAUCAUCUAGGGUUCUCCCUAGUGCACUCGGUAACGUUCAGGCCAGCAUCGAUUUGAGUGGUGGGAUAAAGGCCUUGGGAAUGUAGCUUCUUUCGGGGAGUGUUAUAGCCCUCGGUGCAAUGCCGCCUACUCGGAUCGAGGACCGCGCUUCGGCUAGGAUGCUGGCGUAAUGGUUGUAAGCGACCCGUCUUGAAACACGGACCAAGGAGUCUAACAUCUAUGCGAGUGUUUGGGUGUCAAACCCAUACGCGUAAUGAAAGUGAACGGAGGUGAGAACCCUUAAGGGUGCAUCAUCGACCGAUCCUGAUGUCUUCGGAUGGAUUUGAGUAAGAGCAUAGCUGUUGGGACCCGAAAGAUGGUGAUCUAUACUUGAAUAGGGUGAAGCCAGAGGAAACUCUGGUGGAGGCUCGCAGCGGUUCUGACGUGCAAAUCGAUCGUCAAAUUUGAGUAUAGGGGCGAAAGACUAAUCGAACCAUCUAGUAGCUGGUUCCUGCG
rnacentral:rRNA from 1 species